UACGGAGGGGGCGAGCGUUAUUCGGAAUUAUUGGGCGUAAAGGGCGCGUAGGCGGCAAUUCAAGUCAGCUGUGAAAUCUCUGGGCUUAACCCAGAACGGCCAGCUGAUACUGCUUUGCUAGAGUGCAGAAGGGGCAAUCGGAAUUCUUGGUGUAGCGGUGAAAUGCGUAGAUAUCAAGAGGAACACCUGAGGUGAAGACGGGUUGCUGGGCUGACACUGACGCUGAGGCGCGAAAGCCAGGGGAGCAAACGGG
rnacentral:rRNA from 1 species